UUGUACGCUGGCGGCAUGCCUUACACAUGCAAGUCGAACGGUAACGCGGGGCAACCUGGCGACGAGUGGCGAACGGGUGAGUAAUGCAUCGGAACGUGCCCAACAGUGGGGGAUAGCCCGGCGAAAGCCGGAUUAAUACCGCAUACGACCUGAGGGUGAAAGCGGGGGACCGUAAGGCCUCGCGCUGUUGGAGCGGCCGAUGUCAGAUUAGGUUGUUGGUGGGGUAAAAGCCUACCAAGCCGACGAUCUGUAGCUGGGCUGAGAGGACGACCAGCCACACUGGGACUGAGACACGGCCCAGACUCCUACGGGAGGCAGCAGUGGGGAAUUUUGGACAAUGGGCGCAAGCCUGAUCCAGCCAUGCCACGUGCGGGAUGAAGGCCUUCGGGUUGUAAACCGCUUUUGUCAGGGAAGAAACGCUCCGGGCCAACACCCUGGGGUAAUGACGGUACCUGAAGAAUAAGCACCGGCUAACUACGU
rnacentral:rRNA from 1 species